GCAGGGCCCGGGCCCAUGGCCGCCUCCCCGGCAGAGGCCGACGCCUCCCACCGGCGGCGGGAGAAGCGGCGGCAGCUGGACGCGCGCCGCAGCAAGUGUCGCAUCCGCCUGGGCGGCCACAUGGAGCAGUGGUGCCUCCUCAAGGAGCAGCUGGGCUUCUCCCUGCACUCGCAGCUCGCCAAGUUCCUGCUGGACCGGUACACUUCUUCGGGCUGUGUGCUCUGUGCAGGUCCUAAGCCUUUGCCCCCCAAGGGUCUGCAGUAUCUGGUGCUCCUAUCUCAUGCCCACAGCCAAGAGUGCAGCCUGGUGCCCGGGCUGCGGGGGCCCGGGGGCCGAGAUGGAGGGCUUGUGUGGGAGUGCUCCGCGGGCCACACCUUCUCCUGGGGCCCCUCCUCAGGCCCCACACCUCCAGCGGAGCCCAAGCCAGCCCUCCUUCCAAGUCCUUCCCAGAGAAGCUGGUGCCCAGAGGCCAGGGGUGGGCAGGAGCCUGCAGGUUUGGAAUCUGAACGUGAGGAGAGGACUCAGGAGGCGAGGUUGCCCAGGGGAAUGGGACCCCCACCGGAGUCCUUCCUGCCCCCAGGAGACGAGGGGGAGGAUGAAGAUGAGAGUGAAGAGGAGAUGCUCAGUGAUGCCAGCCCAUGGACCUACAGCUCCUCCUCAGACAACUGUGAGCCAGAUGCCCCCAGGCCGCACCCUUCCCCUGUCACCCAUGCACUUGAGGAAGGAGAGACACCUCUGGCUCCUGCAGCUGCCCCCACUUCUCUUGCUGUGCCACUCUCAUCAGCAUCGCCGCUGGGUUCUGGAGCUCCCCUGUCUGUAGAAGAUGAGGGGAAACCGGAGCUCCGCCAGACCCCUCCGGUGGCCCAGCAAACUGAGGCCCUGGCCAGCCCUGGGAGUCAGGUCCAGUCUGCUCUGGCGGUAGCCUGGGAUGAGGACAGUGCACAGAUUGGCCCCAAGAGAAUUAGGAAAGCUGCCAAAAAGGAGCUGCUGCCUUGUGACUACCCUGGCUGUGGGAGGAUCUUCUCCAACCGCCAGUAUUUGAAUCACCAUAAGAAGUACCAGCACAUCCACCAGAAGUCCUUCUCCUGCCCAGAGCCGGCCUGUGGAAAGUCCUUCAACUUCAAGAAACACCUGAAGGAGCAUGUGAAGCUGCACAGUGAAACUGCGCUGGGCAAGGAGGGACUGGGAACGGCUUUGGGCGCUGGACUGGCAGCCUGGAGUCACUGGAUUAUCAGUGUGACAAGGUAGGGUAUGGUAGGCAGGUCCGUGGCUGGAACUUGGAUGGUUGAAAUUGUGGUGAUGGGGAAUGGAAGUGGUGGUUGAGAAGGAUGGGCUGCUAGGUCAGUGAAUGUCAUGUCACGAAACAGAAGUGAGUGCUGGCCAAGUAGGAAGCAAACUGACGCUAGGAUAGCUGGAGAGCAGGCCAGGGGCCAGUAUUGCAUGGAGCACAGGAGUAAUGGAGUCGAAGGCUGCCGGUGUGUGUAUGUGAUCUGAGGGCAGGGUAUACAGAGUGGUGUUGCAACAGGUCUAAGGGGCACCUUGAGAAGCUUGGAGGUGGGAGGGAGGGUAGGUUCCAGAAAAAAAAUAGAGAGGGGAUUGCUGACAGCCACAGGCCGUUGUUGGGGGCCAGAAUGGAUGUGAUGUGUAGGCUGAGUGGGGACAGUACUCCUGUGGGGGCUGGUGGAUGGGAUGAGGAAGGGCCACAGCCUGGAGAUGGAUGCUGGGGUGUCCCCAUGCCCCCGCAGACACCCGGGACUACAUCUGUGAAUUCUGCGCCCGGUCUUUCCGCACCAGCAGCAACCUGGUCAUCCACCGGCGCAUCCACACUGGAGAGAAGCCGCUGCAGUGUGAGAUCUGCGGCUUCACCUGCCGCCAGAAGGCCUCCCUGAACUGGC